AGUAAUGAUUAAGAGGGACAGUUGGGGGCAUUCGUAUUUCGUUGUCAGAGGUGAAAUUCUUGGAUUUACGAAAGACGAACUACUGCGAAAGCAUUUGCCAAGAAUGUUUUCACUAAUCAAGAACGAAAGUUAGAGGAUCGAAGACGAUCAGAUACCGUCCUAGUUCUAACCAUAAACGAUGCCGACUAGCAAAGUAGGAGAAAAACUUCGAUAUAAAGCUAGUAUUGAUUAUGAUAUUUGGUU
rnacentral:ncRNA from 1 species